GCCCAAUCAAGCGCGCAGUUGAAGAGGAGUGCAUGGUUUCCGGCAUUUGGCUGGGCCUUUGUCUCUCGCUCCCACCAGAGCUUGGAAUCCGUCUCUGCUCUUCUGCAUUCUCCACCUCGGGAGCCCCUGGGGACUCUGUGACGGCCUCUGUUGCCCUGUGAUCUGCAGGUCCGGAGAGACGCACAGCUAAGAUGUCAGGACAUCCUGGAAGCUGGGAAAGGGUCUUGCCAUCUCUAAGCUGGACCUGGUGACCUUUUUGGAGGGAAAGAAAGAGCCCUGGACUGUGAAGAGUGAGGAGACCAUAGCUGCACAGCCAGUCCAGAUGUAUAAUCUCAUCCCUGAACAUUUCUGAUGGUGUGAUUAUGACAUGUGACUUUAUCUGGCAACAGAGUGAGUUGUUGCUCCCGCCUGAGCCCAGCCCCCAGAAAGGAUUGUGACAUAUCGUUGGACCCAGAAUUGAGGGGGCAUUGUGUCAUAUCGCUGGGCCCCACACAUAGGUUAUGUGACUCUUCUGCCUGUGCCCUGCCCAUGUGGCCCAUUGUGACAUACUGUUGGGUCCCAAACCUAGGUGAUGUAACUCUACUGCUUAGGCCCUGCCUACAGAGGACAUUGUGACAUAUCCCUGCAUCCAUCACACAGGUGCAGUUUUGACACACUUCUGUCUAGCAGCUGAGUAUUGUGAUCUUCAGAACUGGCCCAGCCUACAAAUAGGAUUGUGCCACACUGCUGGACCCAGCACCUAGAUGAUGUAACUAUUCUCCUGCCUUGGUGCUACUCAAAAAAGACAUUAACAUAUCUCAGAGCCUUGCACCCAGGUGGAAUUGUGACAUAUAACUUGGCCAAGCACACAGAUGUAAUGGUGUGGUGACUCUCAUACCUAGAACUGGGACCUGUGCAGGAUUGUUAAUUCAUUACUGGACAUUCCUGUGGGUGUGAUUGUUACAUAUGCCUAUGUUCAGCACCCGAGUGAUUUGAUUUUGCUGCCUGGUCUCAGUCCAAAUGUAAGAUUGUGAUUUAUCGCUGAAUCCAGCACCUCGGUGAUUUGACUCUCCCUUUUUUUGUGGGAGGGAUCCUGCAAAUUUUGGGUAUUGUCAAUUAUUGCUGAAUCCUGUACCCAUGUUAUGACUCUCCCAAAUGUGCCUUACCUGUUGUGGCACAAUAUAUCACAUUAGACAUUGUUAAAUAUUGUUGGGUUC
rnacentral:lncRNA from 1 species